rnacentral:rRNA from 1 species
UACGAAGGGGGCUAGCGUUGCUCGGAAUGACUGGGCGUAAAGGGCGCGUAGGCGGAUGGCACAGUCAGAUGUGAAAUUCCCGGGCUUAACCUGGGGGCUGCAUUUGAUACGUGUGAUCUAGAGUGAGGAAGAGGGUCGUGGAAUUCCCAGUGUAGAGGUGAAAUUCGUAGAUAUUGGGAAGAACACCAGUGGCGAAGGCGGCGACCUGGUCCUUGACUGACGCUGAGGCGCGAAAGCGUGGGUAGCAAACAGG